UUGCCCUUAGUAACGGCGAAGUGAAGCGGCAACAGCUCAAAUUUGAAAUCUGGCUUCGGCCCGAGUUGUAAUUUGCAGAGGAAGCUUUAGGCGCGGCACCUUCUGAGUCCCCUGGAACGGGGCGCCAUAGAGGGUGAGAGCCCCGUAUAGUUGGAUGCCUAGCCUGUGUAAAGCUCCUUCGACGAGUCGAGUAGUUUGGGAAUGCUGCUCAAAAUGGGAGGUAAAUUUCUUCUAAAGCUAAAUACCGGCCAGAGACCGAUAGCGCACAAGUAGAGUGAUCGAAAGAUGAAAAGCACUUUGAAAAGAGGGUUAAAUAGCACGUGAAAUUGUUGAAAGGGAAGCGCUUGUGACCAGACUUGCGCCGGGCAGAUCAUCCGGUGUUCUCACCGGUGCACUCUGCCCGGCUCAGGCCAGCAUCGGUUCUCGCGGGGGGAUAAAGGCCCUGGGAACGUAGCUCCUUCCCGGGAGUGUUUAUAGCCCGGGGCGUAAUGCCCUCGCGGGGACCGAGGUUCGCGCAUCUGCAAGGAUGCUGGCGUAAUGGUCAUCAGCGACCCGUCUUGAAACACGGACCAAGGAGUCAAGGUUUUGCGCGAGUGUUUGGGUGUAAAACCCGCACGCGUAAUGAAAGUGAACGUAGGUGAGAGCUUCGGCGCAUCAUCGACCGAUCCUGAUGUUUUCGGAUGGAUUUGAGUAGGAGCGUUAAGCCUUGGACCCGAAAGAUGGUGAACUAUGCUUGGAUAGGGUGAAGCCAGAGGAAACUCUGGUGGAGGCUCGCAGCGGUUCUGACGUGCAAAUCGAUCGUCAAAUCUGAGCAU
rnacentral:rRNA from 1 species